GGGGGAACUGAAACAUCUAAGUACCCCGAGGAAAAGAAAUCAACCGAGAUUCCGAAAGUAGCGGCGAGCGAAAUUGGACUAGCCCUUAAGCUUUACACGCGUUAGACGAACGGUCUGGAAAGGCCGACGAUACAGGGUGAUAGUCCCGUAGUUGACGACGUGUGUUCAGUGAAAUCGAGUAGGGCGGGACACGUGAUAUCCUGUCUGAAUAUGGGGGGACCAUCCUCCAAGGCU
rnacentral:rRNA from 1 species